rnacentral:rRNA from 1 species
AGCGUACACGGUGGAUGCCCUGGCAGUCAGAGGCGAUGAAGGACGUGCUAAUCUGCGAAAAGCGUCGGUAAGGUGAUAUGAACCGUUAUAACCGGCGAUGUCCGAAUGGGGAAACCCAGUGCAAUUCGUUGCACUAUCGUUAACUGAAUACAUAGGUUAACGAGGCGAACCGGGGGAACUGAAACAUCUAAGUACCCCGAGGAAAAGAAAUCAACCGAGAUUCCCCCAGUAGCGGCGAGCGAACGGGGAGCAGCCCAGAGUCUGAAUCAGCUUGUGUGUUAGUGGAACGGUCUGGAAAGUCCGACGGUACAGGGUGAUAGUCCCGUACACCAAAAUGCACAGGUUGUGAACUCGAAGAGUAGGGCGGGACACGUGGUAUCCUGUCUGAAUAUGGGGGGACCAUCCUCCAAGGCUAAAUACUCCUGACUGACCGAUAGUGAACCAGUACCGUGAGGGAAAGGCGAAAAGAACCCCGGCGAGGGGAGUGAAAAAGAACCUGAAACCGUGUACGUACAAGCAGUGGGAGCACCUUCGGGUGUGACUGCGUACCUUUUGUAUAAUGGGUCAGCGACUUAUAUUCUGUAGCAAGGUUAACCGUAUAGGGGAGCCGCAGGGAAACCGAGUCUUAACUGGGCGUUAAGUUGCAGGGUAUAGACCCGAAACCCGGUGAUCUAGCCAUGGGCAGGUUGAAGGUUGGGUAACACUAACUGGAGGACCGAACCGACUAAUGUUGAAAAAUUAGCGGAUGACUUGUGGCUGGGGGUGAAAGGCCAAUCAAACCGGGAGAUAGCUGGUUCUCCCCGAAAGCUAUUUAGGUAGCGCCUCGUGAAUUCAUCUUCGGGGGUAGAGCACUGUUUCGGCUAGGGGGUCAUCCCGACUUACCAACCCGAUGCAAACUACGAAUACCGAAGAAUGUUAUCACGGGAGACACACGGCGGGUGCUAACGUCCGUCGUGAAGAGGGAAACAACCCAGACCGCCAGCUAAGGUCCCAAAGUCAUGGUUAAGUGGGAAACGAUGUGGGAAGGCACAGACAGCCAGGAUGUUGGCUUAGAAGCAGCCAUCAUUUAAAGAAAGCGUAAUAGCUCACUGGUCGAGUCGGCCUGCGCGGAAGAUGUAACGGGGCUAAACCAUGCACCGAAGCUGCGGCAGCGACACUAUGUGUUGUUGGGUAGGGGAGCGUUCUGUAAGCCUGCGAAGGUGACCUGUGAGGGUUGCUGGAGGUAUCAGAAGUGCGAAUGCUGACAUAAGUAACGAUAAAGCGGGUGAAAAGCCCGCUCGCCGGAAGACCAAGGGUUCCUGUCCAACGUUAAUCGGGGCAGGGUGAGUCGACCCCUAAGGCGAGGCCGAAAGGCGUAGUCGAUGGGAAACAGGUUAAUAUUCCUGUACUUGGUGUUACUGCGAAGGGGGGACGGAGAAGGCUAUGUUAGCCGGGCGACGGUUGUCCCGGUUUAAGCAUGUAGGCUGGUUAUCCAGGCAAAUCCGGAUAAUCAAGGCUGAGGUGUGAUGACGAGGCACUACGGUGCUGAAGUAACAAAUGCCCUGCUUCCAGGAAAAGCCUCUAAGCAUCAGGUAACAUCAAAUCGUACCCCAAACCGACACAGGUGGUCAGGUAGAGAAUACCAAGGCGCUUGAGAGAACUCGGGUGAAGGAACUAGGCAAAAUGGUGCCGUAACUUCGGGAGAAGGCACGCUGGUGUGUAGGUGAAGCCCCUGCGGGUGGAGCUGAGACCAGUCGAAGAUACCAGCUGGCUGCAACUGUUUAUUAAAAACACAGCACUGUGCAAACACGAAAGUGGACGUAUACGGUGUGACGCCUGCCCGGUGCCGGAAGGUUAAUUGAUGGGGUUAUCCGUAAGGAGAAGCUCUUGAUCGAAGCCCCGGUAAACGGCGGCCGUAACUAUAACGGUCCUAAGGUAGCGAAAUUCCUUGUCGGGUAAGUUCCGACCUGCACGAAUGGCGUAAUGAUGGCCAGGCUGUCUCCACCCGAGACUCAGUGAAAUUGAACUCGCUGUGAAGAUGCAGUGUACCCGCGGCAAGACGGAAAGACCCCGUGAACCUUUACUAUAGCUUGACACUGAACAUUGAGCCUUGAUGUGUAGGAUAGGUGGGAGGCUUUGAAGCGUGGACGCCAGUCUGCGUGGAGCCAACCUUGAAAUACCACCCUUUAAUGUUUGAUGUUCUAACGUUGGCCCCUGACCGGGGUUGCGGACAGUGUCUGGUGGGUAGUUUGACUGGGGCGGUCUCCUCCCAAAGCGUAACGGAGGAGCACGAAGGUUAGCUAAUCCUGGUCGGACAUCAGGAGGUUAGUGCAAUGGCAUAAGCUAGCUUGACUGCGAGCGUGACGGCGCGAGCAGGUGCGAAAGCAGGUCAUAGUGAUCCGGUGGUUCUGAAUGGAAGGGCCAUCGCUCAACGGAUAAAAGGUACUCCGGGGAUAACAGGCUGAUACCGCCCAAGAGUUCAUAUCGACGGCGGUGUUUGGCACCUCGAUGUCGGCUCAUCACAUCCUGGGGCUGAAGUAGGUCCCAAGGGUAUGGCUGUUCGCCAUUUAAAGUGGUACGCGAGCUGGGUUUAGAACGUCGUGAGACAGUUCGGUCCCUAUCUGCCGUGGGCGCUGGAGAAUUGAGGGGGGCUGCUCCUAGUACGAGAGGACCGGAGUGGACGCAUCACUGGUGUUCGGGUUGUCAUGCCAAUGGCACUGCCCGGUAGCUAAAUGCGGAAGAGAUAAGUGCUGAAAGCAUCUAAGCACGAAACUUGCCCCGAGAUGAGUUCU